rnacentral:lncRNA from 1 species
AUGGUAAUCUGUUGUAUUCGUAAUUGUAGUUCCCGCAGCUCCAGAAAGAAAACUCUAGACGGAGUGUCUCUUCACCGCUUUCCCAAAGAGAGGAAAUGGAGGAAUGCGUGGAUCAAAAGGAUAGGCUAUCCUAGAUGGAAGGCAUCAGAUUGCGCAUACAUUUGCUCCUUGCACUUCGAUGAAUCGUGUUUCCGCAGAACGAGGAAAAACAAAAUAUGGUUAAAGAGAACGGCAGUACCCUCAAAAUUCCACUGCUUCUCAAAGGAAGAUGUGUAA